CCCAUGUUUUCUUUUGAUAUUUUGCAGGUGCUCUUUUGUUGCUUUGGAUAGAGCAGUUUGGUUGGUGUUUUCGGUUAUGUUAAGCAGGAGGUGCUGUAUAACUGUUUUUUAGACUGUUUGGUAGCUCUUCCCAUUGCUGCUAGACAUCAGAUAGCUGUUGUGAUCCUGCUUUUGUGUGGCUGUUUUUCAAAGUGCUUGAUAGCUUCUUUGACUACAGAGUUAAAACCUUUUGAAUGGAGAAGAAGGAACAUCAGCCAGCUACGCAACAAAUGCAGCAACAGCUAGAUGCCCUUGCAAGAAACAUCAAAAAAGAAAAAUCCAUGUCCACCACCCAUUAAAAUAUAGAUAGACGCCUGUACAAG